UCAGAUUAGAAACUCAAUACACAGCAGACGACCCAAAAGAAGCUGUUACCGGCCAUCCUGGGAGAGUCAAAAUGCCUGUCAAGCAUGCACCUCUGCAUUGCCCAAAAAGUCUGCCUCAGCGACCCUGUAAGCUGAAUCACUUUGUUGCGAAGUGUGCCUCUUAUUCAUGCUCUGUAUUUAAUGCUGGAUACCCUGAAUCGCAUAGUUUAGAUCCCUUAAAAGUUGACCGAAUGAACAAAGUUUUACUCUGCAAAGAGUUUUUAUGAAGCUACAGGGAUAUCACCAUAAAGACCUACCAACAGAAGGAUCAUUGUAACUCUCCCUCUUUCUACACCCACUAAAAUAAAACCAUCAACUGCGUAA